AAUCCUUGGUUAGGAGGAAAGGGAGUGGAGAGGACCGUGCUGCCUGGCGUUCCCCAGCUGCCUUUCUUUCUGUUUUCCCCCCAACGGAAUCUCUAUGUGGUCUCCUAGAGCCUCGUGCCUGCCUCUCAGCUAGAUGCUGAUAUCAUUCCCACUCAUGUAGUUGGGAAGGAAGGGUGUGGCAGAGAUAAAGGGUCCACGGUCACGCAGUAUGUGGGGGGUCACACAGCCUGUAUGCCAAAGUGGCACACCCUGUGAAUAUGUAGGGUCGCACAGCCUUUAUGUGUCAGUGCCAGAGCCUGGACCCGGGUCUGUAGAUGUGUGAACCGUGAGCUGAUACCAUGGAUAUUCAAAGAUUUACAUCCCAUCAAUGUUUAUACCUUCUUGAGAAGAAAUUUGUGUCAAAGCACACUCCUCCUUUCAAGACUACCUCCUCGCCGUGCUGCGUGAUAGCCCUAGUAUCACAACCAAAACACAUGAUACAGAAAGAGGCCAGUAUCUGUGUGGCUUCAGGCUCUUGUGCGUUGGCCAUGAAGCAAAGGAAGGCUGUUGCAUGAAAUAACCUCCUUCUGACUCCACCCUUGCAUUUGUGAGAUGUAAACAGCAGUGUUACCAAGAGGUCUUCCAGGGAACACGUUGCAGGUCGUCCUUGGUGGAAGGAACCAUGAACUGGCAUCUCCCCCUCUUCCUCUUGGCCUCUGUGACGCUGCCUUCCAUCUGCUCCCACUUCAAUCCUCUGUCUCUCGAGGAACUAGGCUCCAACACGGGGAUCCAGGUUUUCAAUCAGAUUGUGAAGUCGAGGCCUCAUGACAACAUCGUGAUCUCUCCCCAUGGGAUUGCGUCGGUCCUGGGGAUGCUUCAGCUGGGGGCGGACGGCAGGACCAAGAAGCAGCUCGCCAUGGUGAUGAGAUACGGCGUAAAUGGAGUUGGUAAAAUAUUAAAGAAGAUCAACAAGGCCAUCGUCUCCAAGAAGAAUAAAGACAUUGUGACAGUGGCUAACGCCGUGUUUGUUAAGAAUGCCUCUGAAAUUGAAGUGCCUUUUGUUACAAGGAACAAAGAUGUGUUCCAGUGUGAGGUCCGGAAUGUGAACUUUGAGGAUCCAGCCUCUGCCUGUGAUUCCAUCAAUGCAUGGGUUAAAAAUGAAACCAGGGAUAUGAUUGACAAUCUGCUGUCCCCAGAUCUUAUUGAUGGUGUGCUCACCAGACUGGUCCUCGUCAACGCAGUGUAUUUCAAGGGUCUGUGGAAAUCACGGUUCCAACCCGAGAACACAAAGAAACGCACUUUCGUGGCAGCCGACGGGAAAUCCUAUCAAGUGCCAAUGCUGGCCCAGCUCUCCGUGUUCCGGUGUGGGUCGACAAGUGCCCCCAAUGAUUUAUGGUACAACUUCAUUGAACUGCCCUACCACGGGGAAAGCAUCAGCAUGCUGAUUGCACUGCCGACUGAGAGCUCCACUCCGCUGUCUGCCAUCAUCCCACACAUCAGCACCAAGACCAUAGACAGCUGGAUGAGCAUCAUGGUGCCCAAGAGGGUGCAGGUGAUCCUGCCCAAGUUCACAGCUGUAGCACAAACAGAUUUGAAGGAGCCGCUGAAAGUUCUUGGCAUUACUGACAUGUUUGAUUCAUCAAAGGCAAAUUUUGCAAAAAUAACAAGGUCAGAAAACCUCCAUGUUUCUCAUAUCUUGCAAAAAGCAAAAAUUGAAGUCAGUGAAGAUGGAACCAAAGCUUCAGCAGCAACAACUGCAAUUCUCAUUGCAAGAUCAUCGCCUCCCUGGUUUAUAGUAGACAGACCUUUUCUGUUUUUCAUCCGACAUAAUCCUACAGGUGCUGUGUUAUUCAUGGGGCAGAUAAACAAACCCUGAAGAGUAUACAAAAGAAACCAUGCAAAGCAACGACUACUUUGCUACGAAGAAAGACUCCUUUCCUGCAUCUUUCAUAGUUCUGUUAAAUAUUUUUGUACAUCGCUUCUUUUUCAAAACUAGUUCUUAGGAACAGACUCGAUGCAAGUGUUUCUGUUCUGGGAGGUAUUGGAGGGAAAAAACAAGCAGGAUGGCUGGAACACUGUACUGAGGAAUGAAUAGAAAGGCUUCCAGAUGUCUAAAAGAUUCUUUAAACUACUGAACUGUUACCUAGGUUAACAACCCUGUUGAGUAUUUGCUGUUUGUCCAGUUCAGGAAUUUUUGUUUUGUUUUGUCUAUAUGUGCGGCUUUUCAGAAGAAAUUUAAUCAGUGUGACAGAAAAAAAAAUGUUUUAUGGUAGCUUUUACUUUUUAUGAAAAAAAAAUUAUUUGCCUUUUAAAUUCUUUUCCCCCAUCCCCCUCCAAAGUCUUGAUAGCAAGCGUUAUUUUGGUGGUAGAAACGGUGAAAUCUCUAGCCUCUUUGUGUUUUUGUUGUUGUUGUUGUUGUUGUUUUAUAUAAUGCAUGUAUUCACUAAAAUAAAAUUUAAAAAACUCCUGUCUUGCUAGACAAGGUUGCUGUUGUGCAGUGUGCCUGUCACUACUGGUCUGUACUCCUUGGAUUUGCAUUUUUGUAUUUUGUACAAAGUAAAAAUAAACUGUUAUGAGUAGUAAAAAUAAAGCUAUUUCUCUGCUAUUUGAAAAUACAAUAGAAGAAACUGAGCCUUUUAGACAUUCGUCAGCCUCUUCUAAUAAACCUUUGUACUAUGUAAACAUCAGGAAAUUCAAA